rnacentral:rRNA from 1 species
GUUUUCGGAUCGUAAAGCUCUGUUGUUAGGGAAGAACAAGUACCGUUCGAAUAGGGCGGUACCUUGACGGUACCUAACCAGAAAGCCACGGCUAACUACGUGCCAGCAGCCGCGGUAAUACGUAGGUGGCAAGCGUUGUCCGGAAUUAUUGGGCGUAAAGGGCUCGCAGGCGGUUUCUUAAGUCUGAUGUGAAAGCCCACGGCUCAACCGUGGAGGGUCAUUGGAAACUGGGAAACUUGAGUGCAGAAGAGGAAAGUGGAAUUCCAUGUGUAGCGGUGAAAUGCGCAGAGAUAUGGAGGAACACCAGU